ACGCUGGCGGCGUGCCUAAUACAUGCAAAGUCGAACGGUCUUUCUAUGGAAGCUUGCUUCCACUGAGAAGAUAGUGGCGAACGGGUGAGUAAACACGUGGGUAACCUGCCCCAUAAGAGGGGGGAUAACAUCCGGAAACGGGGUGCUAAUACCGCAUAGUUUUCUUGAUUGCAUGAUUGAGAAAGGAAAGACGGCCUUUGUGCUGUCGCUUAUGGAUGGACCCGCGGCGUAUUAGCUAGUUGGUGAGGUAACGGCUCACCAAGACGAUGAUACGUAGCCGACCUGAGAGGGUGAUCGGCCACAUUGGGACUGAGACACGGCCCAAACUCCUACGGGAGGCAGCAGUAGGGAAUCUUCCGCAAUGGACGAAAGUCUGACGGAGCAACGCCGCGUGAGUGAAGAAAGGUUUUCGGAUCGUAAAACUCUGUUGUCAGAGAAGAACAAGUUGGAGAGUAACUGCUCCAGCCUUGACGGUAUCUGACCAGAAAGCCACGGCUAACUACGUGCCAGCAGCCGC
rnacentral:rRNA from 1 species